GAGGUUACUCCCCCGUCUUGGAAAGGCAGGCUCCAACCGAAAGCGGGAGAGCACGUCUGGGGAAGGAGCCAGCGCUAUGCCAGGAAGCGCUGGAUCAUGCCAUCUUCUACCAGUGUUUGAACUGUUUGAAGAUGAGGGUGGGCAUCAAAUGAAGCACAAAUUGACUAACUGCAGUUCUCUGGCCUCCAUAGGCCACAUCAGUCUAUGAAGACUAUGAAGACUAAGUGCUAUCUCUCCCCAGUAGUUUCUCCUGAUUUGAAUCCCAUUCCCUUUCAUCUUUUAUGGACAUAGUCUGCUGUCAUUAUGCACCUAUACCUGGACACACGUUUUUCUUUCAGAGAUAAGUAAUAAAAGGACCAGAUUGGCUAAGGAA